rnacentral:misc_RNA from 1 species
GAUGAAGAACGCAGCGAAAUGCGAUAAUUAAUGUGAAUUGCAGAAUUCCGUGAAUCAUCGAGUCUUUGAACGCACAUUGCGCCUCAUGGCAUUCCGUGAGGCAUGCCCAUCUCAGCGUUAGAAAAUAUUCUCAAAUUUUAGUUUUGUGCUAAAAUUUGGAUCAUGUCAAGGAAGCUAUUACUAUUAUUGUGAUCGCUCUUUGGAAAUUGAUAGGUCUUUGAGUUGCUACUCAUAGAACGUGAUGAAUCUUUCUUCGUUCUAUUGUAAUUCACUCUGGUAGUCCUAAAACUUGUAUGCCUUUGGCAUAUCUUGUAAUUUGACCUGAGAUUGGGUAGGGAUACCCGCUGAACUUAAGCAUAUCAAUAAGCGGAGGA